ensembl:snoRNA
UGCAUCUGUGAUGAUAAUUUGGCUCCCUCUACUGAAAUCUCUGAGGAAAAACGCCACUUGUUACCCAAUUUCUUCCUGAGGUGCU